rnacentral:rRNA from 1 species
UGAUGGAGCAACACCGCGUGAGUGAAGAAGGGUUUCGGCUCGUAAAGCUCUGUUGUUAAAGAAGAACACGUAUGAGAGUAACUGUUCAUACGUUGACGGUAUUUAACCAGAAAGUCACGGCUAACUACGUGCCAGCAGCCGCGGUAAUACGUAGGUGGCAAGCGUUAUCCGGAUUUAUUGGGCGUAAAGAGAGUGCAGGCGGUUUUCUAAGUCUGAUGUGAAAGCCUUCGGCUUAACCGGAGAAGUGCAUCGGAAACUGGAUAACUUGAGUGCAGAAGAGGGUAGUGGAACUCCAUGUGUAGCGGUGGAAUGCGUAGAUAUAUGGAAGAACACCAGUGGCGAAGGCGGCUACCUGGUCUGCAACUGACACUGAGACUCGAAAGCAUGGGUAGCGAACAGGAUUAGAUACCCUGGUAG